rnacentral:ncRNA from 1 species
AGCAAAGGGUGACACUUUGAUCCACGGGCCACAUUUGGUCGCCCAGUCCGUGGGGAGCGAAUGGCGAAACCACCACCUGCUUCA